rnacentral:lncRNA from 1 species
CCCUAUCAAUUCCCAAACACAGCAACAGCAGCAUCAAUUUCAAUCCAUGCGUGGUGGAUUAGGAAGUUUGGCACCUGUCAAAAUGGAGACACAGGUGACUAAUGAUCAAACACCGCAGCAGUUGCAAGCUCUGCGAAACUUGGCACCUGUAAAAAUGGAACCACAACAGAUUCAAAGUAUGAGAGGUCUUGCGCCUGUCAAAGUAGAACAACAACAAUCUGACCCAUCUUUAUUUCUACAUCAGCAACAGCAGCAGCAAUUCCUUCAGAUGUCCAGGCAGUCCCCUCAAGCUGCUGCUGCUGCACAGCUUUUGCAUCAGCAGAGGCUAAUGCAGUUCCAGCAUCAUCAUCAACUCUUGAAGACUUCCCCUCAACAACGAAACCCAUUACAACAACAAUUUCAAUCACAGAAUCUUGCUGUCAGACCUCCUGUAAAGCCAGUAUAUGAACCCGGGAUGUGUGCCCGUCGGCUGACUCAUUAUAUGUAUCAGCAGCAACAUAGACCUGAAGUAAGAUGAAUGGGUCAACUAGAUCAUUGUUUGGCAUCUAUGCACUGCACCCUACCCUGCAGCUUUCCCAGAUAAUGAAAAAGGAAGUAUGAUAUCGAUUUUUUCCCUAACAUAUUGCUCUACCUUCUUUAUAGGACAAUAACAUUGAGUUCUGGAGGAAAUUUGUUGCUGAGUAUUUCGCUCCCAAUGCCAAGAAAAAAUGGUGUGUAUCUAUGUAUGGAAGUGGUCGGCAGACUACUGGAGUUUUUCCUCAGGUUCACUGCUUAUGUGGAAGCUAUUUACAUUUUUGUUUUUGUAAUGUUUUUUGUUCUCCCAUCAAAUGAAAAUGGAGUUGUAAUAACUUUCAUGCUACAAGUUUAGUAUUCUAUUUCAGCAUAGAUAUAUUUUCAUCUCAGAUACUGCUUUUAGAGCUUGUUCUAUAAAUGAUGCUGAUUAGCUGUAGAACAACUGUUAGCAAAUGAGUUUAUAUCUUUGAUUAAUAUUGUGUAAAUUGCAGGAUGUGUGGCACUGCGAAAUAUGCAGCCGCAAGCCAGGCCGUGGGUUCGGUAUGUUAUUUGCAGCAUCAAGCUCUUGAAUUAUUUUUUGGUCCUAGAAGCACUUAACAAACUUUGUGGCUUAACAAAACCCUUUCUUUAAUUAAUUCAUCUUUAUUAAUUCGGUUUUCCUCUCGGUUGAUAAUUCUGUUUCAGCAUCUGAUAAAUCUCAAAUCAUUUUUUCUCAGAAGCGACUGCCGAGGUUUUGCCCAGGCUUUUCAAGAUAAAGUAUGAAAGUGGCACUUUGGAAGAACUUCUCUAUGUCGAUAUGCCCCGUGAAUAUCAGAAUUCAUCUGGGCAAAUAGUCCUAGAUUACGCAAAAGCGAUUCAGGAGAGUGUCUUUGAGCAACUUCGUGUUGUCCGUGAUGGUCAGCUUCGCCUAGUGUUUUCACAACCUGAUUUGAAGGUUAAAUGAAAGUCUGAUAGUUUUAUAUUCAGUGAAGUGUUUAUUCAUGGACAGUUGAGACCUAGCAUGGUGCAUAUUAAUUUUAUAAUUCGUUUGAUCUGGAUUUCUUUUGUAUCUACUUGGCAGAUAGUUUCUUGGGAAUUUUGUGCACGACGUCACGAGGAGCUUAUCCCUAGAAGAUUGUUGAUACCUCAGGUUAACAAUUUUACCUUUCAACUGCCAUUCCGCAGAUGCAUUAUGAAGUCAUGCUUCAACUGUGAUUUGAAUCAUACACUUCUAUUCACUGAUAGCAAACUUUUAGGUGGCCUAGGUUUAAAUAUAGGUAAAAAAAAGUCGGUUGAUUUUUUUCUUCAAAAAAAUUUGAAGAUGCUUUAUAAAUUCUACUUGAGAAGUAAAGAACUUCAAUCUAAUUUCUUGCCACAUCUGCUAUGGCAGAAGCCUUUUCGUUUCAUUGACCUUGAACUAUGUGCUAAUUCAGUGCGAUUGAUCUUUAUUAUUGACAUUACUUAUGUAAUUGGAUGAGAGUAUGGUCGUGUGAGUAUUUAUGGUCAUUAUUUCCUUUUUCUUUUGUCUGUUGGUACAAGCUCAAUAUACAUGGAAGUACAAGAUUUCAGUUGCAUUUUUGUUCUUUUCUAAUUUCAAAAUUUACCUGUUUCUUCUUCUUAGCAAUAUAGAACGGUUUAGAAGCAUCUUAUUCUCUAUCCUCAUCUUGUGAUAUUGAAGUGGUAAGGGCUGCUGGACAGACGGCUCUAAACUGCUUUUUAGAUGAAUCAAGCUCCAAUUAGUUGUUUGUGGUUGCAAUUUCUGUUAAUUAAUGGAAAGAAUUGACUGUUCGUAAUCGUAUGGCAUUUCUAUUUGUUCUUUUCUUCAGUUUUGGGGAGAAUCUGUCUCUGGAAAAUAUUUUUGAAAACUAUUGCAUGGCUGGAUUGUGUUUGGAUUUAAUAUUGUUUUUUGAAGUAUUUGGUGGAUUGUAUUGCGUUCUUGAAGUUUGUUUUUGGUAUCCUGAGUUCAAGCUGGUUUUGCAUUGGGUAGAAGUUCUAACCCUGGUUAAGGCCCAAGGGUUUGGAUAUGUUAUGGUCACGGGAUAGUUAAGAUGUGAUGGAGAAAAAUUCAGAACAGUUUUAUUGGGUGAUGUUGAUGCUAUCUGAGGUCCAUGGAACAGGACUUUGAUGCUCUAAGUUGUGCAUGUUUUAAGAAAUUUGUGUUUGCACAGGAUAACAAAGUAUAAUUUAAAUAAGCUCCGACUUCAAAAUGGAAAUUGAGGACUUGUAAAAAGGAGUUGUGGUUUUAAUAUGAUCACUUGCGAUUCUAACUAUUCCUUGGUAUAUUUUUCAAUCACAACUGGCUUCAAAUGCCUAAUAUCAAGAAGAUCUUUUCGCUGAUAAAAUUUAGAAUCAAAUUUUCUCUCGGUAGGAUUGUUAAAAGAGUAGUACUGGUUGAUGGAUCUUGGUGCACCAAAUUGGACACAACUCAAUUAAAAAAAUCAAAACACAAAUGAAAGCUAGAUAUAAGCUAGUAAACCUCGAGUUCAUUUCAUAACCUUCAGAUUUUGUUAUCUUUUUGUUUUUGCUUGUAUGCCUGUAUUAUAGUGAACUACUACUAUAUGAUAAAAGUGUGCUACAAAAAAGAAAACAAAUGUUAGAAAUUAAACUUCAAUUGACAAUGUAUAGAAACAUGGACUGAAGUAAGCUUUAAAUGUGUUCGUUGUAUGAGGAUUUACUUAAACAAUUCUAUGUUUGCUAUCAGUGGAAAAAAAAUUCUAUGUUUGCUAUCUAAUAAUACUAACAUCUGGAUUUCCACAAGAUAUUUAAUUAAAUAUGCUAUAAUAUUAAGUUCCUGUCUUUCGGUGUUAGUUUCCUAGGUUUGUCAAUGUGCAGUAAGUAUGGGGUGAAACAUUUUUGGCGCCAGAUUUGCUACAACUUAUAUUUAAAAGAAAGAAAAGAAAAACAAAAGCUAGAUUGGAACCGGUAAACACAAAAUUCAUUAAUUUUCACCUAGAGCUGCACUAUCUUCAGUUUUUUAGUUUUUUUUUCCUGUUUAAGUGUGCGUAUAGUGAACUAGGAUCUGAUAUAUGCAUAUGAUAAAAACUCAUUUUCGAGUAACCAAUUCAUACUUUAACUAUCAUCUUUGUAUUAUGAGUUACUUAAAUGAAGUGCCUGUUUGGGCAAAUUUCUUGGAGGCCAAAAGCACUUAUUUCAAAAUUUGAAGUGUCUGGCCAAUAAGUAGAACUGCUUUUGAGUAGCAGCAAAAUCAGUUUUUUUGCUAUUGGAAAGAAGUUAGAAUUUCUGCUUCUUGAAAAAGGUGGAAGUAGAAUUUUUUUUUUUCAAACAAAAAAUUUCCCUACCAUAAAUACAUACUUAUCAUGCAUAACGCCUCAUCAAGUUAUUACUUUUUUAUUAUAGAACAACCAUUUCCUUUUCUUUUUAAAAUAGAAGAAAAUAAUGACUAGCUUUCAAAUUAUCUCAUUUCCUUUGACUCUUAAUAUUAGUAUCCAUGCAUUGCCGAAGUUUUUUUCGUCUUUUAUUUCGUUGUGUGAAUGAUUUUACUUAUUUUUGUGGUAAAUACCCCAUAUAUGGUUAUUUAAUUUGAGGAUUAAUUUUUUAAUAUAUAUUGUUUAAUGUUUCUUAGUAUAUUCAAAUCAUCAUGUUAAUAUUAUACUAAUAUUUAAUAUUUUCAUUGAUUUAUUAAUAUGUACCAUAUAUUGAAAAUUUUAAUAUGUAUUUUAAUUUUAAUUAGAUAACAGUACAAACUUGAUCAACGUCUUUCAUUGUUGAUACUUUUAAAAUAAUAUUUCUCUAUAGAAUAAUCUUAAUUAUAAACGUGCAUUAAUACCUGUCAUAAUUUGACACUCAAAAUCAUUUUUGUUAGAAAGAUUAGCCUAACACGAUUUGCUUAUCAAAUAUGAAAAAACACUUGCCAAACACAUCGCUUUUCUCCCGAAGUACUUUUUUGGGAAGCUAUUUUAUAGAAAAUGCUUCUCAAAAUAAACAAAUAUUAGCAGCUUGGUCAAACAGUUUCUCUAUGUGUGCCACUUAACAAUUUUAGCGUUUGAUUAGGAGGUGACAUCUAAUUAAAUAUGCUUUCUUAAUAGAUCAGUUGGCUUUUGUUUCGUAUGUUUAAGUUGCACGGACUCUUCAAUUUCGAUGCCGCACUCGUGCCGGAUCUCUAAAAAUACACUACUUUUGGAGAAUCCGACACACCUGUUGACAUUUUUGAAGAGUCCGAGCAACAUAACUGUAGGUUUGUCAUGCUAUUUUUCAUGUUUUGGUACACUCAUGAGGUCCAUUGAAGAAUUUGUAUAUAAGUGUGUGCAUGCGUGUGUACACAUAUAUGAAAUUGAUACUUGUAUACAUGUGUGUAUAAAUCUUUCUCGUUUUAGGCCGUUAGUACAAUAUUUUUAAGAGAUCUUGUGCACAAUGAGCAAUGUUAUUAAAGCAUGCUUAAUCCCUGAAGCAAGACUCAUAACAUGUUGAACGCUUCACCCUGCUUAAUUAAUGUGCCCUUCAGUGUCGUCAUUAAGGCUCUAAGACACACUUUUCCUUGUGAAUGAGCGUUCCCUGAAGAGGCGACUCUAAGCCAUUGUUAUUUCAUUUUAUCCUAAAAACAAUAAAUUUCUUUGUCCAUAAAUAUAUAUAUGUCUUCUCCAUUUACGCUUUUCUCAAUAAAGCCAACGCUUUAUUUGUGCUCAAAAACCAGCGCUUUUUUUGCGCUUUUGAUAACACUUACGGUGAGUGGAUCAGGUUUUCUACUUCAGGAUGUCUCUUUGAAGCAGUUCUCAAUUUAUUGUGUGUGAUCGUACUUCUGUGGCAUCUAGUUGUUUUAGCAUAUAAUUUUUAUGUUAGCUGGAUGUCGUUUUAGCUUUGAGUGUUGAUGUUGCAUAUGAGGUAGGGGCUAUAGAAUCAUUUUUGAUUUGCCUAUUAUUGUUUUGAUAUGCUGUACAGGUUAGUCAACUUGGUGCUGCAGCUCAAAAGUACCAGGCCGCCACCCAAAAUGCAUCAUCUAGUGCGUCUGUUUCUGAGUUGCAGAAUAAUUGCAAUAUGUAAGUCCAGAUACUUACAUUAAGGCGUUUAUUCUAAGUAUUGGGUUGGGAAUAUUCCAUAACUUUGUUUGAUUGUUUUGUUGCCUUACAAUUUCUAUUUAGCUAUCUAACCCUCUUUUUUAAGAGGUUUGCAAUAGACUAACUUUGUUUAAUGGUAGUUGUUGUUUCCUAGCAAUUUCUAUUUUGAAUUUUGAAUAUCUAACCCUCUUUAUCAAGAGGUAAGCUGUGGCCAAAUAUUAGAUCGCCGUCAUUAGUGGGCAGUGAUGAUGAGAAUAGGAUCUAUUUGUAAUUCACAUUUUAUACAGCUCUGUUUUUGGCAUUGAGCUUUAAUGGUCUUUACUGGUGCUGUUUCCUGCUCUUUCUUAGCUUAGGUUAGCCUCUCCAUGCUAAGGUAAGAUGUUCUACCAGUGAGUUGCUCUAGUAAGCUUUUGGCUAUCCAAUAAUUUUCUUAAAGCUGAAAUUUACUGUCAUCUGAUUCAGUGAUUUACCGGGUACAUAUUUUCUCGUCUUCCUUUGUUGGAUGAAUUUGGUAUAAUGGAGUAUGGUCAAUUUGGCAUACUGUUGAACCUUAGAAACUCAAAGUCUUUAAACAUUAUUAUGAAUGUCUAGUUGAUAAAUAUUCUACCACAAUGGUGUGUUUAGGUGCAUGGCUGUCUACCUUCCUUUGAUACUUUUUUUUUUUUAUUGAAAGUUGAACUUUGGAGUGUCAUGGUUUUGGGGUGUGGGUUGAGGAUGUUGACAGUGACCUGCGUGAGUGUUGAUUUAUAUUCUAGUCCUCUCAGUGCUAUGGUGACAUAUGGGAGGGGGUAGGAGGCUAGGAGCUAGGGACGUCAUCUGGUGGACCUACCAAAAGGGAGAGGAAUAAAUCUUCUUCCCAUGGAAUAACAUUAAUCUCAGGAGCUGUGAGUAGUGGUUUGAGGUGGUGGGGAGAGGGUAUGUAAAGAUAUGCAUGCCCUUUGAAAAAGUCAGAAGUGAUCCAUGUAAGCAUUCAGUUGUGAAGCUAAGUUUAGAGAUUCCUUGAUUCUCGAAAUUUUAUUAAGAUUGUGAAUCUGUUAUCAUCAUGUGUUCCUUUAUUUAGCUUUAGAUGUGUGAGUUAUUUUGUAAUUUUGACUUCUAAUUGCGCUUCAGGUUUGUUGCUUCAGCUCGUCAGCUAGCAAAAGCUUUGGAAGUUCCGUUAGUAAAUGAUUUAGGAUAUACAAAGAGAUAUGUGAGAUGCCUACAGGUAUGUACCUUGUUCUGACAUAGAGAACUCCUCUUUCCCCUCUUUUCUGUCCCUUGUGUAGGUUUUUGUUUCAGUAGUGGAAAUAGUCCUCGUGUAUCUAUUGAGUCACUAAAUGUGAUUGUUGGAAUUUUAGCUACUGUAAUAGUUAGUUAUUAAGGGUCUCGGCCAGCUUAUGCAUCUCUCUUUUUAUGUCUGAUUCAAAAGUCACUCAGUUCUGUCGACCUGUCUUCAGUUCAUUUCUUUCCAUAUGUCGUCCUGUUGUUUUCAGAGCAGAUUCGAAAACAGAGAUGAAUUCAAUUCUUUUAACAGUCAGCAGGUUAGAGAUGGUUGUUAAUGUUGUGGAUUUGAAAAUUCCUUUUAAUAAUAUGUGUAAUUAACUCAUGUAUAAUGCUUCAGCUUUUCUCUUGGAUACAAAUAUGUGGUGUAAUGUUUUCCUACUGUUGGUAAUUCUUGUCUUUCCUUCAGAAAUUGACUUCGUUUGAAAAUGCUUGUUCUAGCAGGAAGUCAAGGUCUUUUGGUUUUAGGUUCUUCUAAUUCAGUUUAUUUAUUUCUUAAAUGUUUUAUAAUCAUUAAUUUUGAAACCAAAUAUAAAGUUGCUUUUGUGUGAUAACAUCUGGUCAAAUGAUGUUUUGCUUGUGUGAUCAACUAUGGAUGUGUUGUGUUCUUGGUGGAUUGCAGAUAUCGGAAGUGGUAAAUAGCAUGAAAGAUUUGAUUGACUAUAGCAGGGAGACAGGGACCGGACCCAUGGGUAAGUUCAACCUACUUAACCUUUCUAUUAGUUCCUUACAUCACAGUUCAAAUUUACUGACCUUGUGACAAACUAAUGACUCACUAACAUAGGAGGAUAGAUGGGGUUGUUUUCCUGUGAGUUAGUGUUGCAUACAACGACAACAAAAUACCUAGUGUAAUUUCACAAGUGGGGUCCGGGGAGGAUAGAGCAAACACAGACCUCAACCCCCCUACCUUGGGAUGUAGAGAGGCUGUUUCCGAUAUACCCUUGGCUCAAGGAAAAGGAAAUAGCGGAACUAAAGAAGCUACUAACAUGGCAUAUUGCCAACUAAUUGAUAUUUUCUCUAUAAGGUGUUUUUUCCUUCCGUUGUGACCUAUUUUCGCUAAGCCUACAUAGAUUCUAAGAAUUGUACGUUUUUCGAGACAGUAUCGAGCUAGUGUUGUAUAGAUAAUAAUGUAUUUCACAAAGAGGCAUCUGAUUGUUAUUUAAAGGUGUCCCAGGAAUUUGGUUCAAUGGGAAAUGUGUGCUACGCUGUUGUUGCUCCAAGUUUGGUUCUAGGUGAAGUGUAGAGAAUUAGGCCCAUUAUCUUCUUGUGAGGAUUGUAUUGGAGAAGAAUAUUAUUGAAAUUGUGUAUCUACAUUAUUACAUAGAGACCCUAUUUAUAGACACUACAAUAUAAUCCUUUACCAAGUAGGAUACUAUUUACUAUUUCUAUUACUAUUCCUAUUCGUAUUCUAAAUAGGAUUUUAUAAACCUAUUCCUAUUCUAUCACUUCUUUUAAUAAGUAAAGAAUGACACUUAUAUAGAGAGCAUUAGGAUCAUUAUCCUGAAUUUCUAAGCUGAAACAACGGAUUUCUUAGUCAAACCAAAAAAAAAAGAAAAAAAAUAAGAGAGCAAAUUGGGGUGGGGGGUGGGGGUGGGGGGCGCAAAAGAAAGAAGAUUGCCUUUUGAAGUAAAUUUUGCUCAUACCAUGAAAUUGCUUUGCGGAUGGAAAAUAGAAACCAUCAUGUUUGAGUAGAGAACCCAUGGGACAAAGCAGAUUCCGCUGCAUCGUUAGUCAACUUUGUUGGUAAUAUAACUGUCAUGUAAUAACUAGAGCCACGCAAUAUGCAUGAAUGUUGGGGACUAGAGAGUAGGACACUCAACUCUUGCAAACUAAGGCUCACUUUCAUAUUGGACAUAAUGUAUCGUUAAUUUUCUCGCUGAUGCUCAUUGAUCCAGUUGCAUAGUUUUCCCCCUGAAUUUCUUAUCAAUUCCCUCUUUUGCCCCGAAAUAUAUCACUUUUCCUAGUGGCAUUCUGGAUUUGGUGUUUAGUCUUUUUUCGAUAAUGAGGAUUUGGUGUUUUAUAUCUUAGUGCUACCUCUUUGUGCUCUGGAGUUUGCUGUGGUAUUUAAGUCCCAGGAGACCGGGUAAGUGGUCAAGUGUUUCCCCAACAUUCAUGAAGUUCAAGUGGUAAUCUACCAAAAUUCAAUUUGUGGGGUAAAUGAGUGGGAGCUCAACUUAUCAUUAAUCAGUUUUUAUGUCUGGCCCAGUGUUAUCCUCUCUACCUGUGAUGCGUAUGUGAGUGGGCCAUUUUUGUGUGCGCUAAAUUGAUAAUUUGGAGUAGAUAUUCAACUUGAGCUUGAUGAACUUUUUUUUUUAAUUUUCAUCUAGUAUUGAUGAUCUGUCCUGGCGUUUAUGUUUAACAUUAUUCUUACUGUUCACAUUGUGCCCAACUCUUAAUUUUCCAGAGAGCUUGGCUAAGUUUCCUCGUAGGAACGGUUCUUCAGCUGGAGUACAAGGUCCAGUUCAAUCAACUGAGGAUCAGACUCAGCAGCAGCAGCAGCAACAACAGCAGCAGCAGCAACAACAGCAGCAGCAACAUACACAUCAAACAGUCAGUAGCUCAAACCAUGAGACGACUUCACAGCCUGGUGUACCGCCUCUACCUUUAAGCAAUGGUAUGUUGAAUGUAAACAAUUCUGUGAACCAAGUACCUGCUACUUCGUCUAGUGGUACUGUUGUUGGAUUACUGCACCAAAAUUCCAUGAACUCCAGGCAACAAAAUCCAGUGAAUGGUGGAAGUAGUACCUACUCAGGAAAUGCUGUCCAAAUGCCUUCACCUAAUUCUUCAAGUACAAUGCCUCAGUCUCAACCCAACUCUUCUCAAUUCCAGUCUCCAACACCAUCAUCAUCCAACAAUCCACCACAAGCUUCACACAGUGGCUUAUCAUCAGUGCAACACAUGAACUCUGCAAAUUCCCCAAAAAUCACAAUGCAGCAACCAGCCCAUUCAAGCGACGUGGAUGCUAAUGACUCUCAGAGUUCUGUACAAAAGAUCAUACAUGAAAUGAUGAUGUCUUCACAGCUCGGUGGCGGUGGCAUGGUAGGUAAUGGUACUAUUGGGAAUGAUAUAAAAAAUGGACAUGGGAUGUUGGCAACAAGUAAUAAUUCCCUUCUCAAUGGAAGCAAUUGCCUUGUUAGGAAUGGGACAGCCAAUGCUAACAGUACAGGUGUUGGUUCUGGAUUUGGGAGUAUGAACAAUGGACUGGGCCAAGCUGCAAUGGCUAAUGGAAUGCGUGCUGCAUUGGGUAAUAACCCUUCAGCCAUGAAUGGGUUAGUGGGCAUGACAAUGGUGAGAGAACGUAAUAUGAGUCAACAGCAACAAGAUCUGGGAAACCAACUGCUAAGUGGUUUAGAAGCAGUCAACGGUUUUAACAACCUGCAGUUUGACUGGAAAACAUCUCCUUAAAAAGGUUCAGGUUGGCAAUUAUUAGUCUAUGUUCUGCUGCUUGUGUUGCAAAGAUCGUUAUAUGAGUUUGCCUCUCAUGAUAAGAGUAGCCAUGGUUGCUGAAGCAGAAGUGGUUUCAAAGAUUUCCCCUUCUGUACUGAUUUGAGUGGGAAGGACAACGUAUAGUGUGGCAUCUUAACAGCUGAAAUGUUAUCUCAUCCGAGAGUGCACUCUCUUCUAACUUGAUUUUGCCUGGUUUGUCAUAGCUGCUCCUUUAAUGGGACAUUCAGGGAACGACUUGGCUAAUGGACCGCUACAUUCAAUCUGUUUAUACCAUGCGGAGGCAUUUGUUAACUAUGUAUGGGCUGAUCUAUUGCCCCUAUCGUGCUGCAUCUCCACACCACUCCAGAGCAUGCGGUUGUAUAUAGUUGGGGUUCUGUUGUAGAGCUUUCAGUAGCUUCUAUAAUUGGCACCGGUGCAAUCAUCAUUUCCUCUCUCCUUCCUACUUGUCUUUCUGUUAGGCUUAUUUGGAGUGGCUUGACAGGGGGAAAAAAAUUAGGAUGAGGCUUGGUGGAAUUAAAGUAAAUCCAUUAGUAUGAAGUUGUAUCUGAAGGAAUUUGAUUUUAAGCACUGGAAUUUUCAUAGGGGCAUAAUUUGAAGUAUUUCUAUUAGCCUGUUGAUUAGGAAUUGCUGGCUUGAUUUUAACCCACAGAUGUUUGUUCUAAUUGCUUUACAAAGUAGAAAGAGCCAGUUGCUCAUGUUUUUUGCUGGAAAAAAUUAAACCAGUGAUGAGGCCGUCCUACUUUACUCUUGUUGCCAUCAUCUUUAACUUGUUAUUGGCUUUCUGGAGUCAGUGUUUUUCUUUUAUUGAACUGCGAGGAGAGAGCUGCUAUUGCAAGGAUACUAGUCAUGAAGAAAACUUGUCGGCAACAUAUUCUGGUCUCUACUGCCGGCAACUCCAUGAGCUCCAGAGAGAUCAUCGACAAUGGAGUAGCAGAAACCUAUCAUUCGCGAUUCUUAAUUUAUAUAGUUUGAAUCUCGAAAGUUCAAAAUCUGAGGUCUGACGAAGUUAAUGUAAUGAAAAGAAUGCAUGUAGUAUAAAAUAAAGAGUUCAGAGGAGAACCUCUUUAAAUGUUCAUAAAUUGAGUUCAAAUUACAAUCUUAAAGUAAACUUUUUGACAAAUAAGGAUAAAUAAACGUCCACCCAUUUAUUCUUUCGCUUUACGUGGCGUUUUAUAGAAAUAUAAAUAUUAGGAGGGUACUUUGUAAAUAUUGUCGAUAUCAAAUGUCAAUUACAAAGCAGAACAAUGUAUGUAUAACAGUCCCAUAAAAUAAAAUAUCCAUCAUCGAUCCGUCCACAUGCAUGUGUAAAGAAAAAAAAAGAAAAAGAAAAAAGAGAAGAGAUUUGACUUCGUUUUGAUUGAUUGAGAAAAGAGAAAAUUUUAUUAGUAAAGAGAAGAAGAAAUAAAGAAGAAAAUUCAUUCCGAUUGAAUACAAUUUUGACGUCCGUAAACACACUUUCUCUCUCUAAACAAAAUAUACAGCUAAGAAGCUGAAUCUAUCUACUGAAAGGAAGCACAGUGAAGUUCAAAGAAGGUGACGCUACAAUUUGUGUGUUCUUUGUGCUUGUAGUUCCGUGUAUGGAAUAUACUCAAUCUGCGGUGAGUCGCUGUUGAAAUUGUCUUUUUGUUUUCUAAAGCUGGCUGCAGGUUGCUCAUUUUUAUCAUUUAUUGCGAGAUUUAGGGCUUGAUCAAGUGUUCAUAUGAUUGUAUAAGUUUCCUGCUUUGUUCUUUUUUCUUUUUUGUUUAGUGUUCAAUCAAGCUUCUUUCAUUUUCCGAGUUUGAAAAUUUGGGUGUUUUUGGGUAAUAUUCUCUGACGGAUGUUUUUCUAAAAGGGAUAGGAAUGAAGUUUGAUUUCUGAUUAGACGAUUUCAAGUAAGGUUGGGUAGGGUAAAUCUAUCUUUAUCGGAAGGGAGGGAUAAAUUGACACAAAAUUGAAUAACUAUUGCAGUGGAUGAUGCAGCAAAAGACAGUUAUUUGAGCGGAAAGAAGUCUGGUUUAGUGGUUUCAGAGACAAGCUUCCAUCUUUUGGAUAAAAAAUGGAAUGAUAUUGUUGGUUUUGCUUGGUUCCCCGCCUAGUUUUUUCUUCAGAGCAAUUGAAAUUUCUUGAGCUUAGUGGGGGGCUUUGAUGCCAUUUUAUGAAUUUUCUGUACUCACUUGAGGCUUUUAUGCAAUUUUAGGAAGUUUCUAUAUUUGCUCAAGUGUUGGUAGACUGUGUGCUUCUUGGUGAAAAAUGGUUCCAACAGGGCCUCCUAAUCCACGUGGAGGUUCCCAGUCAGUACCUUCUUCAUUACUGCGAACAAAUUCCGGUGUAAUGGGUGGUCAAGGGGGGUCAAUGCCUUCACCAGGUUGUUUCCCUUCUAUGGUUUCUCCUCGGACGAUGUUUGGGAAUAUGAAUAUGCUAGGGAAUGCUCCCAAUGUUUCACAUCAGUCUUUUGCAAAUGGAGGUCCUAAUGCAGGGCUGGCUGGACCAGGAAGUUCUCAGCGUGGUCCUGUUGAUAAUGGGGCCGAGACUGACCCACUUUCUGGUGUAGGAAAUGGGAUCGGUUUUAGUGCUCCUUCAACGUCAUUUAUGUCAUCAGCCAUGGCAACAAAUCCAAAUAGCAGUCAAGUUCAAGGACAGCAGUUUCCUAACCCCUCCGGUAACCACAUGUUGGCUGACCAACAACGAUCCCAACAGUUUGAUUCCCAGAAUUUUCAACAUAAUCAACAGUUGCAGCAGUUUUCUUCCCCUAUCAAUUCCCAAACACAGCAACAGCAGCAUCAAUUUCAAUCCAUGCGUGGUGGAUUAGGAGGUGUGGCACCUGUCAAAAUGGAAACAGAGGUGACUAAUGAUCAAACACCGCAGCAGUUGCAAGCUCUGAGAAACUUGGCACCUGUAAAAAUGGAACCACAACAGAUUCAAAAUAUGAGAGGUCUUGCGCCUGUCAAAGUAGAACAACAACAAUCUGACCCAUCUUUAUUUCUACAUCAGCAACAGCAGCAGCAGUUCCUUCAGAUGUCCAGGCAGUCCCCUCAAGCUGCUGCUGCUGCACAGCUUUUGCAUCAGCAGAGGCUAAUGCAGUUCCAGCAUCAUCAUCAACUCUUGAAGACUUCCCCUCAACAACGAAACCCAUUACAACAACAAUUUCAAUCACAGAAUCUUGCUGUCAGACCUCCUGUAAAGCCAGUAUAUGAGCCCGGGAUGUGUGCCCGUCAGCUGACUCAUUAUAUGUAUCAGCAGCAACAUAGACCUGAAGUAAGAAGAAUUGGUCAACUAUAUCAUUGUGUGGCAUCUAUGCACUACACCCUACCCUGCAGCUUUCCCAGAUAAUGAAAAAGAAAAUAUGAUAUCAAUUUUUUCCCUAACAAAUUGCUCUUCCUUCUUUAUAGGACAAUAACAUUGAGUUCUGGAGGAAAUUUGUUGCUGAGUAUUUCGCUCCCAAUGCCAAGAAAAAAUGGUGUGUAUCUAUGUAUGGAAGUGGUCGGCAGACUACUGGAGUUUUUCCUCAGGUUCACUGCUUAUGUGGAAGUUAUUUACAUUUUUUGUUUUUGUAUUGUUUAUAUGCUCC